rnacentral:rRNA from 1 species
UACGGAGGUGGCAAGCGUUGUUCGGAAUUACUGGGCGUAAAGGGCGCGUAGGCUGUGCUGUAAGUCAGGCGUGAAAGGCCCGGGCUCAACCUGGGAAUGGCGCUUGAUACUGCGGCGCUGGAAGGCAGGAGAGGAUGGCGGAAUUCCCAGUGUAGAGGUGAAAUUCGUAGAUAUUGGGAAGAACACCGGUGGCGAAGGCGGCCAUCUGGCCUGCAAUUGACGCUGAGGCGCGAAAGCGUGGGGAGCAAACAGG